rnacentral:rRNA from 1 species
UACGUAGGAGGCGAGCGUUGUUCGGAUUCAUUGGGCGUAAAGGGUGCGUAGGCGGCGCGGUAAGUCGGGUGUGAAAUCUCGGAGCUUAACUCCGAAACUGCAUUCGAUACUGCCGUGCUUGAGGACUGGAGAGGAGACUGGAAUUUACGGUGUAGCGGUGAAAUGCGUAGAUAUCGUAAGGAAGACCAGUGGCGAAGGCGGGUCUCUGGACAGUUCCUGACGCUGAGGCACGAAGGCUAGGGGAGCAAACGGG